CCUACGGGUGGCAGCAGUGAGGAAUAUUGGUCAAUGGACGAAAGUCUGAACCAGCCAUGCCGCGUGAAGGAUGACUGCCCUAUGGGUUGUAAACUUCUUUUAUAAAGGAAUAAAACGAGGCACGUGUGCCUUUUUGCAAGUACUUUAUGAAUAAGGAUCGGCUAACUCCGUGCCAGCAGCCGCGGUAAUACGGAGGAUCCGAGCGUUAUCCGGAUUUAUUGGGUUUAAAGGGAGCGUAGAUGGGUUGUUAAGUCAGUUGUGAACGUUUGCGGCUCAACCGGAAAAUUGCAACUGAUACUGGCAGUCUUGAGUGCAGUUGAGGUAGGCGGAAUUCGUGGUGUAGCGGUGAAAUGCUUAGAGAUCACGAAGAACCCCGAUUGCGAAGGCAGCUUACUAAACUGUGACUGACAUUGAUGCUCGAAAGUGUGGGUAGCAAACAGGAUUAGAUACCCUAGUAGUC
rnacentral:rRNA from 1 species